rnacentral:tRNA from 2 species
GGUUCCGUAGCUCAGUUGGAUAGAGCAACAGAUUUCUAAUCUGUGGGUCUUGGGUUCGAAUCCCAACGGAAUCACCA